UGAAAAACACUAUGUUAAUCAUAUAUAUGAAAGUUGGUCAACUCUCUCCCACAACUUGACACAUCAGCACAUGAGAGUUUGUCACCUAAACUUUUUAAAAUAAGUAAUACAUAAUUAAUAAUUAAUUCAACAUAUGAACCUAUCAUAAGUCAGAACUUCAAUCAUCAUUCUUUCUAAGUUUCUUAAUUCAAUAUAUCCUCUUUUAUUUUUUAGGCAUUUAGGUAGAGAAUAUGAUGAGUACAUUUUCCGGAUGUAAUCCUUUCUUUAAUGGAUUUCUGAGAAAUGUUUAUAUAUGAGACUCAGAAAUUUUUUUAGCUUGUAUGUUUCAUUAGUUACGUUAGAUUAAGUGAUUAUC
rnacentral:sRNA from 1 species